rnacentral:rRNA from 1 species
CCUACGGGGGGCAGCAGUGGGGAAUAUUGGACAAUGGGGGCAACCCUGAUCCAGCCAUGCCGCGUGUGUGAAGAAGGCCCUCGGGUUGUAAAGCACUUUCAGUGAGGAAGAACGCCUGGUGGUUAAUACCCAUCAGGAAAGACAUCACUCACAGAAGAAGCACCGGCUAACUCCGUGCCAGCAGCCGCGGUAAUACGGAGGGUGCGAGCGUUAAUCGGAAUUACUGGGCGUAAAGCGCGCGUAGGUGGCUUGAUAAGCCGGUUGUGAAAGCCCCGGGCUCAACCUGGGAACGGCAUCCGGAACUGUCAAGCUAGAGUGCAGGAGAGGAAGGUAGAAUUCCCGGUGUAGCGGUGAAAUGCGUAGAGAUCGGGAGGAAUACCAGUGGCGAAGGCGGCCUUCUGGACUGACACUGACACUGAGGUGCGAAAGCGUGGGUAGCAAACAGGAUUAGAUACCCGAGUAUC